AUGUUCAAUAUUUGCCCUGUUCCAUCUCGAGCGCCAAAGGACGGUGCCCGCGACCAGGACCGUGGCCACCGCGAUGUCUAUCGUCUCCGCGACGGGCACGACAUGGUGCAGCGGGACGUUGUGCCGCAGCUGCUGCUUCGCGGCUCUGGCUCAAACAGUGCUGCAGCGACCCGCGAGGUGGAACAGCAGGUGCUGGCUCCUGUGCCUGCGGCUGAUGUCCUGGCUCCUGCCGACGCGAGGGGGCGCAGCCCGGUGCGUCAGCGCUCUCCCAGGGUUGGGCGCCGUCGGUCCAUGGAGGGCCUCAAUCUGCAGCCGCCGCUCUCUCCAACCUCGGCGCUAAACGCAUGGCUCUGUUCCAAGCGGGACUCAACCAGGGCAUCUCUUCACGUGCUCGCUUCGGGCUGCCCGGACCUGGUCGACUUCUGCUCUCCAAACGCCAUGUUGCGCCCGCUCAACACGCCCUCUCCGUCGAGGCCGCCUGGCUUUGAGGCGUCUCCCACGCCUCCCCUGCUCUGCUCUGGACCACCUCGACGCACUCCCUCGCCGCCACGCGUCAGACAAAGCGCCGCUGUGCGGAAGAUCCUUGAGGAGUUGCAGGAGCUCUUUGUGCCUGCCCAAGAGCCGCUGCUGCCUUCCCCUCCGCCCGUCAGACCGUCGGCUCGCCGCAAGACUCUAGCGGGGAUGGCCAUCUGCAACAAAGGAGGCGGCAUUUCACUCAGGCGCUCUAGUGCGCGACUAAGGGCAGAUAGGCAGGCUCCGGUUGCCAAGAGAGCUGAGGCCCUCGUCUGCCGUAGCCUGGGCAUUGUACAGAAUGGUGAGGAUAUCACCGUGCAAGCUAUGGACAACUUUGCCAAGAAAUUCAAAGAUCGUCUUCCUGAUGACGUGAUUGGAGCUAUGAGGGCCCUAUUCAAGCUGGAUGAUGACCGUAUCUAUGCGGCCGAAGCUGGGCUCAUAGCGCAUGGUGGCCCCAAUGCGCUCGAUCACGUUGAUGAGGCUACUGCCUGA
rnacentral:rRNA from 1 species